rnacentral:lncRNA from 1 species
AGUUGAGUUAUAUCUUACUGCCCUCUGCAUCUACUUUAUGAGGGUUUCUGAAUUAAGGCUGGGCUGUAAGGUGUCUUGACUCCUUUGGUAAUUGCAUCAUUUCCUGGCCGUGUCUAGUAUAUAACGCGGAGAAGUGAAGCAAUUGCCCAGAUAAUAACACAGUUUGGAAAGUAGGAGGAUAACAAACACAGUGGGUUUGAAGGACUUGCUUGGAGCCUUGGGCAGAUGUCCUGAUCCUUCACUAGGCAUACCACCCACAGCUCUCUCAGCCUCGUUAGCCUGCGUGUGCCAAAUAAAUAAAAUAGAACCGCGUGCUAUGAGGCUACGUGACCCUUCAUCACCCAUAUUUGUUGAGCACGCGCUCUGCACCCAGGACAGCGCGUCGCUCCGGCUCUUCGCCGAGAAACGCUCUCAGCUGGUGGCAAUCUAUCGUUAGAUUUAGUAAAAUGUUUAGAGGGACUUAACAUCCGCGUGACAGAGAACGAAGAAAGACGGAGAGGGACAGAACUUAGAUUUGGAAAGAGCAGCUAAAAUGGUUAAUAAAAUAAUAAAGCAAAUUACAAGGCUCUGGACAGUACGCGUCCAGACAACACUUGUCUUGCUGUGCUGAGACUGAUUGGGAAGAGGAGAAUGCUGAGUACUUAAUGUUCCAGGAAGUCCAUUGUGAUAGGUGCCAUGGGGUUAAGAAAAGAUGUGAUUUUUGGUGCUUAAGAAGCUUUCACUUCAUUGGAUAAUUAAGACAAAAAUAUGUUGCCACCAUUAACAAAAAUAAUUGGCACCAUUCAUUGAUUAUUUGCUGCAUAUCAAGUACUUCAAAUAAUCACGAUAUAUGGUAAAAGAAGGGAGAAGGAAGUGAGCACUAGAAUCAAAAUAGAGCUUGAAAACUGUUUUUCAAGCUGGACCUAAAGGCUAGAAGUAUCCGGAAUGCCUGAGAAAAGGAGAAUGGACAUUGCUUCUAAGGGAUCCAGGAUGACCAUGGUCUAGUAUUUGCAACGAAAAGGACUAACUGUGUCAGACUGGCUGUAGUAGGGAACCUGCGCUGGGGAACAGUGGAGAUGAGGGCAGAUAGGUGACUGCAGCUAGAUUAUGGAAGACCUUAAGACAAGUCAAGAAAUUACGAAGGGAACCCAAGAGGACUCGAUGUCUGAUAGGAUAUAAAGGGUUAAGAAUAGGGAGGAAUCAGUUAUGAAUCCUUGAUUUGUUCUGUGUGGCUAGUAAAACUGGGGUGGCAUUAAAAGUAAUAGGAAGGUUGAGAUGGAGAAACUGAUGAAGAAGAGAAGGUAAGUUCAGUUUGAGCCCCACAGAGGCAGCACAACUAAAUGUGGUUGGAAAUACAGAAUGGGAAUUUUGGUGAUAAUUAGGGUAGAAGGGAGAGAUUUUGGAGCCAUUAACUUAAAAGUUUGAGAAGAUUUGAGCUCUUCCCAAAGAAAAAACCUAUAAAAAGGAGAGAGGACCAAGGAAAAAACCCAGGAGAGUAUACAUUAAAGAAGAAGGGGAAGAGGUAGAAAAUGGUGAAAGAGUAG